GACAGAGGAUGCAAGCGUUAUCCGGAGUGAUUGGGCGUAAAGCGUCUGUAGGUGGCUUUUUAAGUCCGCCGUCAAAUCCCAGGGCUCAACCCUGGACAGGCGGUGGAAACUACCAAGCUGGAGUACGGUAGGGCAGAGGGAAUUUCCGGUGGAGCGGUGAAAUGGCGUAGAGAUCGGAAAGAACACCAACGGCGAAAGCACUCUGCUGGCCGACACUGACACUGAGAGACGAAAGCUAGGGAGCGAAUGG
rnacentral:rRNA from 1 species